AAACAUGAGUAACAUGGACUAAC
rnacentral:snRNA from 1 species